GUCGGGGGUGUCGGGGGGUCAGGGCUGGCCCUCCAUGACCUACGUGACAAGCAAAGAGACUUACAACAAAGCACCGACUGGCGACUAACGACUUUGGGUCUAGAUCAACUAGAUAUAUCUUUGCCCAUACAUUACGCCGCCUUACAAGUGUGCGAUUGCGAGUGCGAGGGUGUCCGCCCAGAUGAGCUGGAAGUAAUCUGUGGCACUAUCUCUGAGUUGGGUCUCUUUGCACUCCAGACAUCCCUGGAAUAACUUUAGUUCGAAGCCAUGUUUGUAAUCAGAAGUAGUAGGCCCUUGCAUCAUUGCAAAUGCCAUUUGAGAUGAGUGCAGUAAAGAUAUCCAGUAAGUGGUCAAUGAACAACGUAACUCACCAAAUAUUUCAACCGAAAUGCGACUAACUAUAAGUUCGUGCUGUAAGAACAGAACUAAAGCAUUGCGACUCCCAAACAAACCGUUAGCGGCUGGACAAACUCGUAACCACAUACUAACCGUCAAGACAGACAGACAGAAGCAGAAACAGAAACAGCAACAGCAACAGCAACAGAAACAAAAACAAUCCCACCAACUAUAAAAGCCGAAUAAAAAUGGAAAUAAAAGAAGAAAAACAAACCGGUUCGCCACCCGCUCCGAAAACUUCCUGCAGACAACAAGAGCAACAACAUGUUGCUUCUAAUGAGACCACAACAACAAUAACAACAAUAACAAGCAGAACAAUAACAACAGCAACAACAAUUAGAACAGCCAGCAGCAAACAAAAACUGUCAAAAAAUAAGCAGCUAAUUAAGAAGCAUGACCGUUGGCCGUUUUAGAGAACCACAAUCCACAAUCCGAGUCACAAUCAGAAUGAUAGUGAGAAUAAGAAUCAGCAUCAGCACCAGAAUCAGAAUCAGAGGCAGAACCACUUCGACCUUCGCAUGGACCAGUUUUCCCAGUCGCCGCCGCUCCAAAUGGCCAGAAACACGCUGCAGAUUUGGACGCUUUUGUCGAGCGGGUCGACACCCGCAAUGGCAGUGGCCAAAAGUAGCUGAGCCACCAGCUGAGCCAGAACGAAUGGAGCUAUACCCUGCGAAAUGAAUAUGCCUGUUAGGCUGGAAAAUGAAUUCCAUCUAUGAACAAUGUAGCUACUACUCCAGCGCAUUCCAAUGUCGAGCAUAGCCAGAUUAAGAGGUGCAAAAGCGACGAAAUUUCGAGGGAUUAAGACCCAAGUCCGAAGCAGGUGCUCAGUGGAGCAGUUGCCUUCGCUGCCAGCCACAGCACCACAGUACCACACCACACUGACCUACAUUCAUCUGGGUUCGCUUGGGCUUGGCGUCCGUUUGCUUUCCGUUCACUUGGGUCGCCAUCCGAAGUUACGAGUGUUUGACAAUUGACUGCGCUGCUUUCCGUGUGCCGGGCAGUGCCAUAUUUAUGAUUCGCAUUCGCUUUAAUUAAAUUCUCAAGGCGGCGGGCAGGGAGGGGGGAACUCUACACAGUUGACUUUACGACUUGCAUUUAAUUAAAGCCAAUUACCGCUGAACCUGACGAAUCUCCAGAGUGGGGAGAGGAGCCUUGAGAUUAAGGGCGGAAUAUUUGGGAGUAUAAAUAUACUAUAACUGCAGUCCCAACUCCCAACUCCAGAUCACAGCCAAUUGAAAUCGAUUGUGCUAAUCGUAGUCCCCCACUUCAAUUACAUACAUGUACUUGCAUACUUGCAUACUUGCAUUCCUUGAGUGACAGCCCAUAGGAUCUUUGGAAUGGGGGGCACAAUGGGACAUAAAGCGAAGUUAUCUUAAUUAAAAUGCAGCAACAACAGACAUGAGCAAUGAGCAACGAGUCUUAUCUAUGCAAAAUUACUAUAAAUAAACAACGAGAUAUGCAGAGACGGACUCGAACUUGCAGAGGAGUGAUUUUGAGUCAUGGGCUUAUAAACAAAAAUAUACAAAUAGGAAGGCAAGUGGAGGGGGGAAAUGACCAAGUUGAAAAUCCAUAAUAACGACGACAAUAAAAUAACACUGCGACAACUGCGGAUGGCAAACAAGAGGAGAAACAGUAAUAAUGGCAAUAAUGCGAAAAAUAACAACAGUUGCAAAAGUCAACGUACUGCAAGAAAAAAUUCCACAACAGCUGCUGCACAGCCGAAACAUGGGCUCAAAAUUCUCGUUUCGUGAGAACACUGUAAGUGGUAAGUGUAUGUAACUCUCCUAGCUCAACUACUCAGUUACUCAGCUACUCAGCCACUCUCAGCAGUUACAUCUUGGGAGAGCGGCAUCUGUUAACGGUUAACAGAGCUCCGCAUGUCACUCACAUUCCACUCCAUCCACUCCGCUUACAGUGAAGCCUGCCCGGUGCACCAACUAGCUGGGCAAGCCACUAAAAUAGGUGCAUCCCUUUGGUUCUCCGCGCCGGAUAUUACGUCAAGUAGCUUCGUAGUUCAAAACAUUAGUUUAAGAAAGGUGUCAGCCAACAGUGAGCCUAUCGAGGCACGACUGUAGUUGGGGGACUCAUGCGGAAAGCGAUUGAGCAGUGCACUCAGUUUGCCUGGCAACGAACGAAAUAUUUUAACGACUUGCGGCCGGGCCGAAUCAAUAGAGAAAUGAUUGCAAAUUUAUUUUAUUUUUUAUAUGCGCCCUCCUCCGUCGCGGUGCCACUCUUUUUUGUUUAUGUAAAAAUAGCAUGCAAUUGUUUCAAGCCAGAGGGGAGAAGUGGUGCAAUUGGUGCAGUGGGUGGGGCUGUCAUAAAAACGCGAGCGACUCAAGUGGAGUGCAAUUGACGCCAUCGAUUAAACAAGAAUGGGAAUCACUUUGCGCGCGGCGCCUGGUUCCAUUUGAAAGUAGGAAAAACGAGGCAGACGUUGGAAAAGCUGAAGCCCAGGAAAAGUGUGGGUGCGGGCGCGGGCGCGGGGGAGGCAUCUUAAUUGCCGAUUGGAGGAGGAACACAGUCGAAAUAUGGCGAUGGCAACGACCCUGACCUUGUGGCUCCAACUUCAACUUAUAAUACUUAGACUUUAUACCAACGUUCGAAUACAAAAUGACAUGCAAAGCUGUUGCAAAAGAGGACAAAUGAGGACGUGUAUGUACAUAAAUACAGUUGAGAGCGCACUUGCAGCUACAUUUUAUAGGGCCACCCACCCACUCAAAUCCCUUGCAACCCACUUCCACACAUGCGAUAUUUACAUACAAAUGCACUGAAAUGCAUUUUUCAUUUUUAAUUUUCCCAAAACCAAGAUCUAUAGUAUUUCGACUUUGCUUUGGAGUGAUUUCUAAUGCCAUUGCAUGUCACCUUUGUGCCCAUUGUUUUUUUUAGCAUAUAAAAUAUUAAUACAUCUUUUCAUCGUGAAAAUGGAAUGAAA